UGUAGCCACUUCCCAGGAGCAUCUAAAUGCUUCAUUAGUAACCUCUCAGCCAUCACAAGAUCCUGUAUCUUUUGGCCAACAUAUUCUAACCGCUCAUAGCAAAACCGAGGAUGCUCAAAUUUGUAUUUUGAUGGAUGCAUGAAACAAAGCUGUAACCCAAGUCCAAGUUCAAUAUUCCUAGCUUCAGUAAUGUCUGGAAUUCUGUCUGACAUUGCUAGUGGAUAUCCUAGUGUUCGCAUGACUUGGGGUCUGCUGUCAUAAUCCCAGAUAUUCCCACGGAACCGAUGCAUGCCUGGUGGAACACAAGCCCUGAAAAGCCUUGGGUGUGCAAAGAGAGCAUCUUCAGGAGGCUUGUAAGCAGCAACAUCUUGCCAACUUAGCUUAUUCCCUUCAAAUUCAACAGAAACAUAAUCUACGUCUUCAAGUUGUCUCCUCAAUUUUGGCUGGCAAUCCUCAGCUUCCAGAUCCAUUCCAAAUACUUCAAAAAGCACUCGAUACACUUCUG
rnacentral:misc_RNA from 1 species